UCGACAUCGUGAUGCAGAUAGAUGAGGAACCCUCUUGGAUCGAUCUAUUGGUUGGUUACCUCAAAGAUGGGAUACUACCCAUGAAUCAAAAAGAAGCUCGAAAGGUAAAAUAUCAGUCAUCCAGGUAUCUUCUUCAUGAAGGAAAGCUGUACAAGAGGUCUUAUUCACUGUCUCUUCUUAACUGUCUGCAACUAUCCGAAGUCGACUAUGCAUUCAGGG
rnacentral:lncRNA from 1 species